rnacentral:rRNA from 1 species
UACAGAGGUGGCAAGCGUUUGUUCGGAAUUACUGGGCGUAAAGGGCGCGUAGGCGGCCUUCUAAGUCAGACGUGAAAUCCCCAGGCUUAACUUGGGAACUGCGUCUGAUACUGGGAGGCUUGAGUGCGGGAGAGGGAUGUGGAAUUCCAGGUGUAGCGGUGAAAUGCGUAGAUAUCUGGAGGAACACCGGUGGCGAAGGCGGCAUCCUGGACCAAUUCUGACGCUGAUGAGCGAAAAGCCAGGGGGAGCAAACGGGAU